GUGGUUUCUUUCUUCUUCAGAAGGCCAGACUUUUACAAUUCAUAAAGAGACCAUAUCCAUUUGACGUGCAAUGACACUCUGGUGAGUUUCUCUGCCUCGAGUCCUGACGACCUCUCUCUCUCUCUCUCUCUGAAAAAUCCUUCAACAUUAUGUUUCUUCGUCUGUGAUUUAGUGCGAUGUAUGUGGUUGUUCUUUGCUUAGAAAAGAGUUUCGUCAGAUCUGUUGGUAUAUGCUGACUCGAAGUAAUUUCAGUCUUAGAUUAAUUUUGUUCAUAAGAUGUAGUGUGUCCAGUUUUUUUCUUUCAGUAUACGAUCGAUGUUGUGAUUUAGUAGCUUGGAGGCUGGCACUUCAAUUCAAAACUGACGUGAAUACCUAAAAUGAUAAAAAAGAGCAGGAAAUGGCGACGUGAAUUUUUGGGACAUGCAGCCACGCGCUGCCGUUAUCACGAGCGCCGGUCCUAGCGUCGUGACUGCUACUUAUUAUAGCACAUUUGCAAUACGUCAAACAUUAAUUACCAGCUUUCAUGAAUACGCCGUGGUAUACGCCACACCAGUGGCCCAGGGGUCAUUUAUGUUCGUAUGAAUACAAGGCCCACGUGACGGCCCAGACGAUGCAAAAUAACUGCUCUCGUUGCUGGGUGGACAUAAUUGAGCACUUGCGCUAGCUGGUUUCUGGCACCGCAGAUCUCCUCCAAGCCUUGCCUGUAAACGCGUGUACGUGCCCCGCCGAGGAACAGGGGGAGGAGUGAAGAUGGGUUCCGCAAAUCAUCUCUCGUUUGCCUAAUAUAAAGUACUCCUAGCGAAUAUGAAAGUUAUACGCUGCUAGAACAGUGUGAUACAGAUAACAAUACAGGCUAGAGCAGCAUCUUCAGCAGUGUUAUUAAACUUUCUGGAGCAAAUGGAUAGCUAACUGGAGCACGUCGCAUACGACAGUGCUGCAUGUGUCAGAAUGAAGAGAUAGCACAGUGCCACGGUACAUGGUGAGGGACGAUGGACAAGUUGGCACCGUGGUGAAAGCCGUGUCGGUGUGUGAUUGAGCAUUUAACUAUAAACCAUCCUCUAUGCUAUUAUUAAAUUCAUUUAAAAUUCCAAUCAAUAUUAUACCAUUUUGUUCGUGCAUUUAACUUAUCAUCGCUAAGAUUUUCUUGUGACGCUUCUCUCAUUUUCUAAAUUGAACUUUCAUAAUCAGCCAACUAAUAGAUGUGCAUUUUUUUUUUCUUUUAAAUAGACCCUAUCCCACUGCGCAUGGCGGGAUUAAAUGUUCAAUCACACACCGAAUAUACACAUGCAACACAGAAUAUGAAGAUAAACCUAAGCUGAUCUAGCAUAGUGACAAGUUCACACUAAUUCAUCUCAAAAUUACGUUCACACUAAACUAGCUUACUCAAUACACGUUAAUGAUUCUGUUGCAGCUGUAGAGGAUGGUGCACUAAGACGAGAAGGCAGUGUGGUGCAUUAAUCCUAGUAAGUGAGGUGGUCAGGUGUGUUGCAGUUUGUCAACUACUUAUGAUUUAUCGCUCAAGUGGUCUGCUGCACAUCAAUGCAAAAUUAACUUCAAACUCUUAUGGCUUGUGGGGCAUGCACACUUAUUGACCAACAAAUACGUUGCAAAUCAUUCCUGUGAAUUCUAUAUACGUGAGGUGUACUAUAAAUACGGCACAAAUCCCGAAGAAAUGGAGGGUGCGGAUUACAUCCUCGCGUGGCACCAUGUCCACUCGUGAUUUAUCAUCAACGGACGUGAAUUUUUGGGACAUGCGGCCACGCGAUGCCGUAAUCCAGUGCGUCCGCGCGCGCAUCGUGAUUGCUACUUAAUAUAGGCACAUUCGCUAUUCCUGACAUGUUAAUCACCAGUGCUUGUGAAUACUUCGCGUGAUACUGUUGGAAAUAUGCCCUAGAGGCAAUAAUAAAAUGGAUAUUAUUGUAUUUCCUUGUUCAUGAUAAUGUCUAUUGUUCAUGCUAUAAUUGUAUUAACUGGAAACCGUAAUACAUGUGUGAAU
rnacentral:lncRNA from 1 species